GUUGACCGGUGGGGGGGGGAGGCGCUCGGACGCGCGUUCCCAGAGCGGGGCGGAACCGCUGGGCAUUGUGGGACGGUGGCGGACUGGGGCGCCCAUGGCGGGGAGGGCCGAGGGGGCGGCCGGCGCAGGGCUGGGCCGGAGGUCUGCUGGGCCAGGGCCUGCUCGCUACCCCGCUCGCCACCGGGCCGGUAGGGCGGCGGCGCCGGGCGGGCCUGGGUGUUGCGGCACUCGCCGUGGCCCAGCCGCCAUCCGGGGGUGCCCCGCGCCGCCUCGGCGGAACCGGCCAGGCCUGGCCNAAAAACCAAGAAAAAAAAAUACACCAAAAAACCCGAGGCACAGAAGUGCCAGCCCAGUGCUCCCAGGCUCCGGCUACUGCCACCUCCCAGCUACAAGCCAGCAGAGCUGAGCUGGGGAGCCAGCCUGCCAGCCAAGCUGCUGGGCCACCUUGGAGCCCUCCCUGGCUCUGCAUCUCCCCAGACAGGAGCCUCAAAGCUGCCUCCAACGCCAGCUUCCCCAUUGCUUCUGAGGUUCCCCGUGCCCUGGAACAGGUACCCAGCAGCCUGAUGCAUCCAAGCCACAGCCACGGGUUCAUCCCUUUGCUAUCCGUGGAGCUUUAUAUUCCCAAGCAACCCCACCGUGCCCCUCAGGAACCUGCCCCCAGCAGACCUGCUGCCUGGACUCCCCAUGCACACACACACCCCACUUACAAGCACUUGUGGCAACAUGCCCACCGCCCUGCAUGGCUACCCAGGACCUCCCAGCUCCACUUCUCCACCUGUGGUGUUAGUUUCCCAGACUCACUUCAUCCCCAGCCCUUCCAGCAGAGGGGUGGUAGCAGCUGGAGGUGGCAAGGGGGUCAAAUCAGACUGACCAAAUCCCAUCCCUGCAUCCCAGUCACCCCAGGCCCAUUUUCCUUGGGUCAGGCAUUACCCACAGAGCAGCAAGCACUGACAGAGACUGGGGACCCGGUGCCAGGGUGCCCUAGGCAGCCACACGCUCUCCCCAUUGCCCUCCAUACAG
rnacentral:lncRNA from 1 species